UGGUAGCAAGCUUUCAAAAGCUAUUGAAUAUUUCCGCUUACUUGGCCGAGUAAUGGCUAAAGCUCUACAAGAUGGGCGGCUCUUGGAUCUCCCACUAUCCACAGCAUUUUAUAAGCUUGUAUUAGGACAAGAGCUUGAUUUGUAUGACAUUCUUUUGUUUGAUGCCGACUUUGGGAAAAUCUUGCAAGAAAUGCAUGUCCUUGUUUAUCGGAAAAAGUUUCUUGAGGCAACAUCUGGUAACAGUCAGAAGGCAAUCACUGAUUUACGUUUCCGUGGCUCUCCUAUUGAAGAUCUGUGUCUAGAUUUUACUCUUCCUGGCUAUCCCGACUACAUUCUUAAAGACGGAGAAGA
rnacentral:misc_RNA from 1 species